rnacentral:rRNA from 1 species
UACGGAGGGGGCAAGCGUUAUUCGGAAUCAUUGGGCGUAAAGGGCGCGUAGGCGGCUUGGCAAGUCAAAGGUGAAAUCCCUCGGCCCAACCGAGGAACUGCCUUUGAUACUGCCUCGCUUGAGGCCGGGAGAGGGUAGCGGAAUUCCCAGUGUAGCGGUGAAAUGCGUAGGUAUUGGGAGGAACACCAGUGGCGAAGGCGGCUACCUGGACCGGUUCUGACGCUGAUGCGCGAAAGCCAGGGGAGCAAACGGG